UGGAAUAGUCAAGUGUAGAUUGCUUUGAAAGUGCUUUAGUUUUUCCCAACUCAAAUUCUAGUUUAAAAUAUGUGAUUAACAUAUGGGAUCAAAUCGUAGAGUGCUACUAGUAAUCCUAAGUACAACUCGAAUGCUACUAGUAAUCUGAAGUACGCGACCGGUGUACAUCGACCGGUGAAGGGUGGAGCGCUACUAGUAAUCCUAAGUACUCGAACGCGUCCUCUUCCUUUUGGGCAGUACUCCAUUCGUGCAUGUCCUCUCGCCCCGCUCCACCAAGCUUUACGCGCGCGCCUCCCUCCCGCCACAACCGCAGAGGAAGAAGCGAAGCGGUUGCCAUCGUCGUGGCCACGUCGGCCGCGAGCGAGAGCGCGGCGUCUCGCCUACCGUCGCGUUGGCCGUUUCGACAGGGCGCCCCGCGCGGGGCGCGACCUGCCGGCCCGUGCGUCGGAGCGCACAUGGCCUGUGGGCGCGGACGUCGACGCGGCGGUCCUGUCGGGUCGGGGCCCGGUCGCUCCACACGUUCGCUCGCUCGUUCGUUAGCUCGUGGCCCGGCGUUCCGAGCGGCGCGCACGUAUGGGGUGGGGAAGUAGCUUCAGAUACGGACAGAUGCAGCGGCAGGAGCAAGGACGCGAUGCGUGGACUGUAGCGGCGGCCACGGUGCGUGCUGUGCUAUUUUCAGUACUUUUCUUCUGGAAAACCUGCAGUAUCGAAUCAGUUCUAUGACGGGGCGAAGCGGUGCCUGUUUGCCCAACUGCGGUGGUGGAUCGCGGUGAGAUUGCAUCGCGAAAACCGUCGGGGCCGUGGGAUUGCAAGGAAAACCAUAUCUACACCGGACCGUGCAAAUCCGGUCCUCUAUACGUCCACGAACGCAGCCGAGGUAUCUGAACAGCCCCUCAUAAAUCCUAUUACAUAUCCAUAUAUCUCAUAUUCAAAGUUUUAAAUUUAUGUAAAAUCAUGCGAUACCUCAUAUUCAAAGUUUUAAAUUUAUGUAAAAUCAUGCACGUCGAUCACACAAAUUAAUGUUACACAUAAAUAACAACUGAUGGUAUCAAACAUAAUUAUAUUUACAUUAAUUUUAUUUGAAAAGCACAAUCAAUGUGUUUGAGAUCAAAAGUGAUUGAAUUCAUUCAUCG
rnacentral:lncRNA from 1 species